AAGAAAGCACCUUAUCCCACAUUAUAGCCCUGGUUCCCAGUACACACAAAGAAGGACAGCAUUGUAUCUGAAACUAAUACCGUGUAAACUCGUUGAGGAAUUGGCUGAAUAUUGACUUCAUGCCAGUCUAGCUCAGAUGCAUCAUGCUGAUCUAGGAAAUAACCCAGAAUCUUUGUUCCUCCAUUAUGCUUUGGGGGUUUCCAGCCGAUGGUCAUGUUGGCCUUCCCACAGCUCAACAGAACAAACCCGCAUGGUGCUGAUGGGCGAGCUAUUGCUGGCCUUACAAUGAUAGGGUCUGUUUCUGGAGAGCUUUCGCUCAAUCCUGCCUCACUGACAGAUUUCACACAAAAGACAUACUCCUUUCCAGGCUUCAGCCCAGGAACAGUAAAUUCAUUACACAUCACGGGCUUAUUGUUGACGGUUUGCCAUUCUUCUGUCCCAGACUCCCGACAAUAUAUGUAGUAGCCCAGAGGUUCCAGACCAUCCUUUAGUUUAUCCCACUGCAAAGCAACAGAUGUUUUGGUGUCUCUGAAAGCUAAAACCUGAGAUGGUGGUGGUAAAGGAGCUACAAAAGAAAAAAUAAAAACAGAAAAAUAGUUGUUUAUUUAAAAGAAUAUGUAAAUUCAAAUGUGUUUAUUAAGUGACUUCACUGAUUUAUUCAACUUUCCCAGAGCUUUGUUUACAAAUUAGAGCAAAUUACCAUAAACACUGUCCUUGUCUACAGACUGUCUGUUCAUAUUUGUGUCUGUUGUUCCUCAUACUCCUUCCCCUGACAGCCCAUUGAUUCCUGCAGUUAUACCCAUGUAACCUUCCCUGAAUUAAAGGAGAAACAAGACUUGUAUUGACUCUCACGUGACACCUCUAUGAAAUGGGACCUGCUUCACUCUUGAGAAACAAAGGACAGUAUUAAUGAGCACUGGGGCAGCUUUAAUGUGAGAAUAUAUGAAAUAGUAAGAGAAACAGCUACUCCUCUCUGCAUAAUGGAGGCAUGGAUAUGAGUCUUUGCAUCUCUGACUGUUGUCUUGUCAGUCCUGGGAAGAAGCCAAAACAAAUCGGCCCUCUAAUCACUGCUGUUUAAUCUGAAGGUCCUAGAAAAGGGCUUCUUCUGCAAUCACAGCUGUAUUAUUCCUUCCAACGCUGACAUGUAACCAAGCGCUAGAAGCAUGCUUGGAUUAAAUACAGGCUUCCACUGUCCCUUACUUAAUUAAAUGUAAUUCCCCUACUGUUGCUUGGUUGGAUUUAUACUGCACUGACCAACUGCGAAGUAAUUAAAUGAGGAUUUAAGGCUUUAAGAUGUUUCCUGAUAUCAAAGCAAUGGCUGUGUAACAAAAUAACAUAAAGUUUAAAGGAGGUGAGGUGGGAACAAGGGGAACCCACACAUUCGUUUUGUAGCACAUCUCCUGUUCCAUAUCAUUAGUGUAGCACAUAGCAGUGAAAUAAUUACCCAGUUUUGCCCCAGCAGUGAUGGGUUCGCUGGGCAGGGAUGGCUCACUGAUUCCAUACUUGUUAACAGACCGCACUCGGAAGCUGUAUGGUUUUCCUUUAAUGAGAUCAAAGAGUGCAAAUCUUGGGGAAUUAACUGGCAUAUCCAGAUUAACCAUUUGCCAGGAGUUGCUGCCCACAAGCGACUGUAAGGAAAAAGGUGAUGAUUUACAAUUCAGAAAAGCUUAAAGCUCUCCUGAGGAACAACAAAGUCAGUCUUUAUAGGAAAGUAUAGAAAUAUGAUUUAAUACAAAGUGUAAAUGAUCUAUUUCUUGUUGACAUAUGUUAUCUUUUCUUCCUUGGAAACAGAAGGUCCCAUUGCAGCAGGAAGAGUACAGCAAGUGGGAAAUGAGUACCUGGUAAAGUAAAUUGGUAGGAGGUACUAAUUAACCAGCAAAAGGAUUAGGG
rnacentral:lncRNA from 1 species